rnacentral:rRNA from 1 species
GGCACGUAGUUAGCCGGCGCUUCUUCUGCAGGUACCGUCACUUUCGCUUCUUCCCUGCUGAGAGAGGUUUACAACCCGAAGCCGUCAUCCCUCACGCGGCGUCGCUGCAUCAGGCUUUCGCCCAUUGUGCAAUAUUCCCCACUGCUGCCUCCCGUAGAGUCUGGGCCGUGUCUCAGUCCCAGUGUGGCCGGUCGCCCUCUCAGGCCGGCUACCCGUCGUCGCCUUGGUAGGCAUUACCCCACCAACAAGCUGAUAGGCCGCGGGCUCAUCCUUCACCGCCGGAGCUUUUAACCCCGUCCCAUGCGGGACAGAGUGUUAUCCGGUAUUAGACCCGUUCCAGGGCUUGUCCCAGAGUGAAGGGCAGAUUGCCCACGUGUUACUCACCCGUUCGCCACUAAUCCACCCCGAAAGCUUUCAUCGUUUCGACUUGCAUGUGU